GCAGCAGCAGCAACAGCA
rnacentral:snRNA from 1 species